rnacentral:rRNA from 1 species
CACGCUGUAAACGAUGGAUACUGGCUGUUGGAGGUAUCGACCCCUUCAGUAGCGAAGCUAACGCGUUAAGUAUCCCGCCUGUGGAGUACGGCCGCAAGGCUAAAACAUAAAGGAAUUGACGGGGACCCGCACAAGCGGUGGAUCGUGUUCUUUAAUUCGAUGAUAAACGAAGAACCUUACCAGGGCUUGACAUCCAGGGAAUUUCUGCGAAAGCAGUUAGUGCCUUUUGGAACCCUGUGACAGGUGC